rnacentral:rRNA from 1 species
GCUAGAGGUGUUUCAGAAAGUGUCCACAGGGACCAGUGACUCGUGGCAGCCAAGCAUUCAUUGCAAUGUUGCUUUUAAUCCUUCGGCUUUUCACUAUCAUUGAGACGAAGAAGUCCCAGAUGGUUGCAGUUCACUGCUGGGGAAUUUGAGCUGUGUUUAGACCGUCGUGAGACAGGUCACAGACAUCCUUCUGAUGGUGCAUUGCUGCGACAGCAAUCAAAGUUAUUGCAAGAUG